GCUGGGUAUAGUGGCGUGUGCCUGUAGUCCCAGCUAUUCGGGAGGCUGAGGCAGGAGGAUCGCUUGAGUCCAGGAGGUCAAGGCUGCGGUGAGCCAUGAUUGCGGCACUGCACUCCAGCCUGGGAAACAGUGAGACCCUGCCUCAA
rnacentral:SRP_RNA from 1 species